AAACUUACUUGGUGCGGAGGUUUACCGUGAUCAGGAAGGCGGUACCUCCGGGGUAAGGGCUAUCCAUUGCACUACCGGAUAGUCUGAGCCCUGUGAGUGUGCAAGUGCAUACAUCGGGCACCCAAUUUUUGGUAGCGGGGACUGCGUGCGCGCUUGUCCCUU
rfam:Asian citrus Psyllid, Diaphorina citri - Florida Strain, whole genome shotgun sequence.